AAACAUCAUGCACACGAGGCGCGAGGUGGAGCUCCCGACGGCGCAGGUCAGCCCCUCUGCACUGUCCUCCUUCUCUCUUCGCUCUGGCGGAUCUGAUCCCUCCCCCGCGUGCGCCCACCUCCAUGUGCACUCACCUCCCCUGGCCGCCGUCAGCCUGAACCACUCCGCGCCCGCCUCCCAUGGCCGAUGGCAUGGCAGCCUCUUCUCCUAGGGCUACUUCUUCCUCUAGCCCCAUGACCACCGUUCCUAGCCCCCGCCCUAACCCUUCAUAGAAACCCACCUAAUCGCCUAAUCUCCUCUAAUUCCUUCCCGUAUGUGCUUGUAUGCUGAUAUUUUCCUCUUUGCAGGUCAAUAAUUUGAGCAUAGAUGCCCAACAGCCAGAUCCAAAGUAUUUGAUGUGAUUUGUGCAUGAUGUUGGUCUGUUAGCCAUGUGAUGUUGAUAUAAAAUUUGCUUUUGGUCCUUCCAUGCUUGAUUUAGUUUAAACAUUGCAUCAAAGUACAAUGUUCAUUCCAUGACAAAUGAUCAAUUCCAUUGUAGAAAAUGACCAUCCAAACAAGCUUUGGAAUUGAGCAUGUCAUGCGAAUUCCAAGUCUGAAUUCUGUGCACAUCCGAACAACAUAAUUCGGGUUCAAUACCAAAGUCACGGAGAUUUGACAUUGAGCCCAAUCCAAUUCCAUGGCGCUCAAUAUCAACAUCAAAACAGAGCAUUAGAGAUCGUGGCACAAAACUAGAGAUCGUGACAGAAAAACUAGGAAAGCCCGUUAGAAGAGGAGACCCAGAUUCGAUGGGACACGGCUCGGCGCCGGAGCCGGCAGUGCACCAACGGCUGCGUGUGGUCGAUGGAUUUUGCGCCAGCUGCCGAUCGACGUUUUCCUACCCAUACGUAUUAUGUUUCUACAUUUUGACUGCAAUCUUAUCAUGUUGUAGAUCUCAAAUAGAUUAAGAAUAAAGUGAUGUUCUGUAUGCUAAUUUUGGCGAGUAGCUUUUGCGUGAACUAUGCGAUGACGCAUAAAUGGGGUAGUUGCCUCUUGAUUUAGUCGUUUGCACAACUCAUAAGAGCAACUUUGCACUAUUUCUGAAAAUCUGGAAGAAU
rnacentral:lncRNA from 1 species